AUUGAACGCUGGCGGCAUGCCUUACACAUGCAAGUCGAACGGUAACGGGCCUUCGGGUGCCGACGAGUGGCGAACGGGUGCGUAAUACAUCGGAACGUGCCCGAUCGUGGGGGAUAACGAGGCGAAAGCUUUGCUAAUACCGCAUACGAUCUACGGAUGAAAGCCGGGGACCGCAAGGCCUUGCGCGGACGGAGCGGCCGAUGGCAGAUUAGGUAGUUGGUGGGUUAAAAGCUUACCAAGCCGACGAUCUGUAGCUGGUCUGAGAGGAUGAUCAGCCACACUGGGACUGAGACACGGCCCAGACUCCUACGGGAGGCAGCAGUGGGGAAUUUUGGACAAUGGGCGCAAGCCUGAUCCAGCCAUGCCGCGUGCAGGAUGAAGGCCUUCGGGUUGUAAACUGCUUUUGUACGGAACGAAAAGCCUUCUUUUAAUACAGGAGGGUCAUGACGGUACCGUAAGAAUAAGCACCGGCUAACUACGUG
rnacentral:rRNA from 1 species